rnacentral:rRNA from 1 species
AUGGCAACUUUGUUGUUUCACGGUCUCGUUUGGUUUCUCUGCCUUCUCCUGGGGUUCUCUUGCAGCCUACCAUUAUUAGGCAUCUGCGAUGAAACGCCGAGUGAUAGAGAAGCCCUCCUGUGCUUCAAAUCACGGCUCUCGGCACCCGCCGGAGUUCUACCUUCAUGGAGCAACACAUCCAUGGAGUUCUGCGACUGGCACAGGAUCACGUGCAGCGCGACUUCCCCCCGGCAUGUCGUUGCGCUGGACCUUGAAUCCCAAGGCAUCUCAGGCACCAUAGCACCUUGCAUCGCCAACCUCACUUGGCUGGCAAUGCUCCAGCUGUCCAACAAUAGCUUUGGUGGCGGUGUACCGUCCGAGCUUGGCCUCCUGGGCCGACUCACCAACCUCAACCUCAGCAUGAACAGUUUGGAAGGUAACAUCCCACCUGAACUCUCUGCAUGUUCCCAGCUCCAAAAGAUUAACCUUGCAAACAACAAGCUCCAAGGGAGCAUUCCUCCUGCUUUUGGAGACCUUCCUGACCUGCGCAUACUAGUUCUCGCCAAAAAUACACUUACUGGCACCAUACCGUUGUCUUUGGGAAGCAGUCGUCAUCUUAUGUAUGUCGAUCUCGGGAUCAAUGCUCUUGGAGGGGUCAUCCCGGAGUCCUUGGCAAAUAGUUCAUCUCUUCAAGUACUUAGGCUCAUGAGCAAUAGUCUUACUGGAGAACUCCCAAAGGCUCUCCUCAACACUUUGUCACUAGGUGCCAUUUGCCUCACAAGAAACAAUUUUGUUGGUUCCAUACCUUCUGUUACUGUCACCUCUUCCCCUCUUAAGCAUCUCUAUUUAGGGGAAAACAAUCUUUCAGGAAGAAUACCUUUCUCACUAGGGAACCUUUCCUCCCUACUUCAUCUUCAUCUCACAAACAAUCAUUUAGUUGGGAGCAUCCCGGAGAGCUUAGGUUAUAUUCCAACAUUAGAGAAAUUGAUCUUGAGUGCAAACAACUUAUCUGGACCGGUUCCACCGUCUAUCUUCAACAUGUCAUCCCUGAAAAGUCUCGCCGCAUUCGACAACUCACUUGUCGGAAGAUUACCCUUCGACAUCGGCUACACCCUCCAUAAUAUUGAGUACUUAAUACUCACAGGGAACAAUUUUGAUGGACCAAUUCCAGCCUCUCUUCUCAAAGCUUACCGCCUAUGCUGGCUUCUCCUUGAUAGUAAUAGAUUUAUUGGAUCUAUACCAUUCUUCGGUUCAUUGCCAAAUUUGGAGCGUCUCGAUUUGGCAUCCAACAAGCUAGAAGCAGAUGAUUGGGGAUUUGUCUCUUCACUAUCUAACUGCUCCAGAUUGUACAUGCUGGCCCUGGAUGGAAACAAUCUUAAUGGGAAAUUGCCAAGUUCUAUUGGAAAUCUUUCAAAUAGUCUUGACUCCUUGUGGCUGAAUAGCAACCAAAUUUCUGGACCUAUACCACCGGAGAUUGGCAACCUUAAGAGCCUCAGUACAUUGUACAUGGAUUACAAUUUUUUCACUGGUAAUAUACCACCAACAAUUGGGAAAUUGUACAACCUCAGUACAUUGUACAUGGAUUACAAUUUUUUCACUGGUAAUAUACCACCAACAAUUGGGAAAUUGCACAAUUUGGUCAAACUACACUUAGCACAAAACAUGCUUUCAGGCCAGAUUCCAUAG